AUUGAACGCUGGCGGCAUGCCUAACACAUGCAAGUCGAACGGCAGCACGGCAGUAGCAAUACUGUGGGUGGCGAGUGGCGGACGGGUGAGGAAUACGUCGGAAUCUGCCCAGUCGUGGGGGAUAACUAGCCGAAAGGUUAGCUAAUACCGCAUACGACCGAGAGGUGAAAGCGGGGGACCGCAAGGCCUCGCGCGAUUGGAUGAGCCGACGUCGGAUUAGCUAGUUGGCGGGGUAAAGGCCCACCAAGGCGACGAUCCGUAGCUGGGCUGAGAGGAUGAUCAGCCACACUGGAACUGAGACACAGUCCAGACUCCUACGGGAGGCAGCAGUGGGGAAUAUUGGAAAAUGGGCGCAAGCCUGAUCCAGCAAUGCCGCGUGUGUGGAGAAGGCCUUCGGGUUGUAAAGCACUUUUAUCAGGAACGAAAAGCGUUGGAUUAAUACUCUGACGUGCUGACGGUACCUGAGGAAUAAGCACCGGCUAACUUCGUGCCAGCCGCCGCCGUAAAAC
rnacentral:rRNA from 1 species